rnacentral:rRNA from 1 species
GCACCACAAGGGGUGAAGCCUGCGGUUCAAUUGGACUCAACGCCGGGAAACUUACCAGGGGAGACAGCAGUAUGACGGUCAGGUUGACGACCUUACCCGACGAGCUGAGAGGAGGUGCAUGGCCGUCGCCAGUUCGUGCCGUGAGGUAUCCUGUUAAGUCAGGCAACGAACGAGAUCCGCACCUUUAUUUGCCAACAAGAAGUCACGACUUCGUUGGGAACACUAAAGGGACCGCCGUCGAUAAGACGGAGGAAGGAGCGGGCAAAGGCAGGUCAGUAUGCCCCGAAACCCCUGGGCUACACGCGGGCUGCAAUGGUAUGAACAAUGGGCUGUGACUCCGAAAGGAGAAACCAAUCCCGAAAUCAUAUCUCAGUUGGAAUUGUCGGCUGUAACCCGCCGACAUGAACGUGGAAUCCCUAGUAAUCGUGUGUCAUCAUCGCACGGUGAAUACGUCUCUGCUCCUUGCACACACCGCCCGUCGCUCCAUCCGAGUGUGCUAAAAAUGAGGUUUGGUCAGUCUGGUCAUAUCGAGUUUCUAGUAUGCGAGGAGGGAG